GGAACCGUCGACGCCGAUUACUCACCCGUACCGGUAGUGAAAAGGGUGUACACUUUGGCAUACAAUAAAAUUGGCAUAUACUCCUCAUUGAGCAGUGCAGACUGGAUUAGUUGCAAAUGGACGACCAUAUCCAGAAAGACGACCGAACCCAAACGUGAACAAACGUUUAGAAUCAAGAUGAUUGAAAUCAAAUAUUUAGACUUCUUUUGAUAGUUUGCAUCGACGAACAGGCGACAUCAGCCAAUGGAACCAUUCAACCCAUAGCAGGAGACAGUACGGGGCCCCCAAGAAGGUGUUUCUUCUCCAUCAACGCACCUGAGAACAAGCAGAUACAAAUAUCUUGUUCCGUUGUCAACCUUAUUGCUGGCGAUUUCAGUUCGUUUAGCAUGUCAGGGACACUAGAAGGAAAAUAGAUUAAACCUGUAGUCGACCGCAUCUAUUAUUCUACUACCAACAUUUUCCUGAGUUCUUUCCUCGGUGUCGGAGACAUGUUGAAUUGCCACUGGAUCAACAUACCAGAGGAGAUUAUUGCGGAGUCUAAACUGUGUCUGACACAUAGUCAACUGUACCCUAUGGAACCAUUCAACCCAAAACAGGAGAUACGGUACCCCCAAGAAAGCAAGAAGUUGUUCCUUCUACAUUAGCGCCCCUGGUGAUCAGCAGAUUCAAAUAUCCCGAAAAAUCCUGCCCUGCCGUCAAUUACACUAAACCCAACAGUUAUUUCAGUAUCAAAAUAUGGAACCAUUGACUACGCAUAUUACCAACUGGUAGUAAACAGGGUGUGUACGUCGAGAAACAAUAGAAUAUGUACAUAAACUCUCUACUAGAGCAAUACAGAUUCCAUUAGUUGCAACUGGACAACUACACCGAGAGAGAAACACCGCAGACAACAGACGUGAUUUUAAAAUUUACAUAAAUUUGUUCACUUUAGUUGUCAGUUGAUAAUUGAUAGAAUAUUUUUUAAAU